CUAUCCCCAAGUGCCAUACGUAUUUUAUGGAAGGCCCCUAAGGUACUAUGAACUUAUUUCUUUUCGCUCAUUAUAUACCAUUCCACCAUAUAUAUUUCAUGAGCUCGCGGGGGAACCUGCGGGACGAUGUCAUAUUCAUUUAUCAAAAACGGAGAGUAAGGAGCAAGGGGCAGAGUUAAAUCAGUUGAGUUCGCGAACGUCAGGAGAUUAACACUCUAAGUGUAAGCGGGUUUUUUUUAGGGACACUGUUAUUUUUCGAUCCAAGGAAUCAACUCUUUGCAUUCUGUAAUCAUUAUCAGCUCCGAAUCAUUCUGAUAUCAAGUCCUGCUUAUUCAACUUUUGGUUUUAUCUUAUCAAUGCUAUGUCAUCAAUAUGAAGUGAACGAACAGAUUCAUGAACCAUAAAGAGUUUUUAGGAAUUGAGUUCAUAAUAUUAUUGUGAAAGUUUUUAUAGGUUGAGUCUUUGUUUACAUUCUCAAAGUUUCAAAAGUUCUACAGUUUGAUCGUGUUUCCUCCCAACUUUAUCAGCUUAUGAGCAAUAGUUUCUAAUUUACUCAACUCCUCAGCAGGCCAAAAAUCCAUGCCUCAACAGAUACAUGUGAGAAGCAUGCGUUUCAACGAAACCUACGCACCGUCCGAGUCGUUACCGUCACUCAGGAACCAUCGAUCUUUUCUGCAGAAGAGUUGGAAAAACCAAUCCGUCCGAAGAAGACCGCAUCGGUCAAACAAUGUUUUCCGCCAAAUGCCAAGGCGGCAGAAGCCCGUUACCAGAUCCAGGUAAUACGGUACAAUCAACUAACUGGAACACACCAGGUCAGGGCAUGGAUGGCCCUUUCACGGAGUCCAAUUCCCUCCGCAAACGUCCGGGAAGAUCAUUGUCGCAAUGCCCGUUGCAACAACCACUACCGAACAUUCUCUUUUUCUGAAGAAACAAGGAAGAGUUAUAGGUACUGGUGUGCGUUAUUAGAACAAAGUAGUUGUAGUAAAGUAGUAGUAAGUAGUAGUGUAGAAAGUAAACUUGCAAUAACGCUGUACGAAACUUGCUUCAUCGCUUCAUCCCAAGUUAGUUGCAAUACGUUGUAAUAAUGUAGUAAGAAAAUUCUGUUGUGUGUUCAUCAUUCAAAAUUUGACAUGAAAAAACUGGACAGGAAGACAAGGUUUUGUACAAAUAAAGAGACAAAAGUCCUGUAGCUGGCGGACUGAACAUCAUACCUGUAUAAUUCAUCCCAAAUAGUUGCAUUCCCAUCUCAGCAAAAAUGAAAAUAAUUAUACACGUUCGGCUCAUGAUUGAUAUGAUUCCUUCCCUUAGCAAUGACUUGUACCAAUGAUUGCACAAAAAAGACGAGAUGACUUAAAAUUUAGCAGUUUAAUACUGAGAAAUAUGGCAUCAAAUUUUUGAGGGAGUUCGUUAGCAGCUUUGAUCGGAAGCGGACCUCUGUGCUCGGAGCUCUCCCUUAUCUGAUUUGUGACUGUGCGUUUAAUUUUGUACCACGACUUAUGUCUUUAAAGCAUUAGCCUAAAACAAUUUGCAAUAUAUGUGAAAUACACAAACUUUAAAGCUGGGCUUCAGCCCCAGCAUCCCUUUAAGUACUCCUACAACAAUUGGGUGAGUUCAAAUAAGCGUCUAGUUUGGUGUCCCCAGCUGUUUUAAUCGUCAUAAUCUGAGAAACAUGGGCAGAUCAAAUUUUUUUCUCAUUUUCCACACUAUUGUUGACUAUUACAUGCUAUUUCCCACUUUAUUUGGACUGAAAUAAAAAUUUAGGAGAACUUUGAAUGUGCAAAUUG
rnacentral:lncRNA from 1 species